GUGGGGAAUAUUGGACAAUGGGCGAAAGCCUGAUCCAGCCAUGCCGCGUGUGUGAAGAAGGUCUUCGGAUUGUAAAGCACUUUAAGUUGGGAGGAAGGGCAGUAAAUUAAUACUUUGCUGUUUUGACGUUACCGACAGAAUAAGCACCGGCUAACUUCGUGCCAGCAGCCGCGGUAAUACGAAGGGUGCAAGCGUUAAUCGGAAUUACUGGGCGUAAAGCGCGCGUAGGUGGUUUUGUAAGUUGGAGGUGAAAUCCCCGGGCUCAACCUGGGAACUGCCUCCAAAACUGCAUGACUAGAGUACGGUAGAGGGUAGUGGAAUUUCCUGUGUAGCGGUGAAAUGCGUAGAUAUAGGAAGGAACACCAGUGGCGAAGGCGACUACCUGGACUGAUACUGACACUGAGGUGCGAAAGCGUGGGGAGCAAACAGGAUUAGAAACCCGGGUAGUCC
rnacentral:rRNA from 1 species